rnacentral:rRNA from 1 species
AGCGAACGCUGGCGGCAGGCCUAACACAUGCAAGUCGAGCGGUAACAGGAGUAGUUUACUACUUGCUGACGAGCGGCGGACGGCUGAGUAACGCGUGGGAACGUGCCCCAAAGUGAGGGAUAAGCUCCAGAAAUGGAGUCUAAUACCGCAUAUGAUCUUCGGAUUAAAGGAUUUAUCCGCUUUGGGAGCGGCCCGCGUUAGAUUAGGUAGUUGGUAGGGUAAUGGCCUACCAAGCCGACGAUCUAUAGCUGGUCUGAGAGGAUGAUCAGCCAGACUGGGACUGAGACACGGCCCAGACUCCUACGGGAGGCAGCAGUGAGGAAUCUUCCACAAUGGGCGAAAGCCUGAUGGAGCAACGCCGCGUGAAGGAUGAAGGCCCUCGGGUUGUAAACUUCUUUUAUAAGUGAAGAAUAUGACGGUAACUUAUGAAUAAGCACCGGCUAACUACGUGCCAGCCGCCGCAGUAAAAC